GCGUCGUGACCCUGGCAAAGUUGCUCCCUUCACCAGAGCUGUGGUGGAGAGAUUCAGGGUAGACGCAGAUCAAUUUGUCUCUCAGUUUAGGAGGGCUGCCAGAGAAAUGUGCAUGCCCUUAAAGGCACGAGAGGACAUC
rnacentral:snoRNA from 1 species